rnacentral:rRNA from 1 species
AACGCUGGCGGCGUGCUUAACACAUGCAAGUCGAGUGCGCGUACCGUAGCAAUACGGUAUGGCGCACGGCGCACGGGUGCGUAACACGUGGGCAAUCUGCCCUUCGAUGGGGAAUAUCUUCGGGAAACCGAAGCGAAUUCCGCAUAACAUUCCUUGGGCUUCGGUUCGAGGACUCAAAGCCGUAAGGCGUCGAAGGAGGAGCCCGCGCACGAUUAGCUAGUUGGUAGGGUAACGGCCUACCAAGGCUUUGAUCGUUAGCUGGUCUGAGAGGAUGGCCAGCCACACUGGAACUGAGACACGGUCCAGACUCCUACGGGAGGCAGCAGUGGGGAAUCUUGCACAAUGGGCGGAAGCCUGAUGCAGCGACGCCGCGUGGGGGAUGAAGCAUCUCGGUGUGUAAACCCCUUUCGACCCGGAAGAAUGCCUCGCAAGAGGACUGACGGUACGGGUAUAAGAAGCCCCGGCUAACUACGUGCCAGCAGCCGCGGUAAGACGUAGGGGGCCAGCGUUGUUCGGAAUUACUGGGUGUAAAGGGUUCGUAGGCGGUGCGGCAAGUUGGGAGUGAAAUCUCUGGGCUCAACCCAGAGGCUGCUUCCAAAACUGCUGUGCUUGAGUGUGGGAGAGGCGCAUGGAAUUUGCAGGUGUAGCGGUGAAAAUGCGUAGAUAUCUGCAGG